rnacentral:rRNA from 1 species
AUUGAACGCUGGCGGCAUGCCUUACACAUGCAAGUCGAACGGCAGCAUGGAGAGCUUGCUCUCUGAUGGCGAGUGGCGAACGGGUGAGUAAUGCAUCGGAACGUACCGUGUAAUGGGGGAUAACGUAGCGAAAGUUACGCUAAUACCGCAUACGACCUGAGGGUGAAAGCAGGGGAUCGCAAGACCUUGCGUUAUACGAGCGGCCGAUGUCAGAUUAGCUAGUUGGUGAGGUAAAGGCUCACCAAGGCGACGAUCUGUAGCGGGUCUGAGAGGAUGCUCCGCCACACUGGGACUGAGAAACGGCACAGACUCCUACGGGAGGCAGCAGUGGGGAAUUUUGGACAAUGGGGGCAACCCUGAUCCAGCCAUGCCGCGUGAGUGAAGAAGGCCUUCGGGUUGUAAAGCUCUUUCGGCCGGGAAGAAAUCGCACAGGCUAAUACUCUGUGUGGAUGACGGUACCGGCAUAAGAAGCACCGGCUAACUACGUGCCAGCCGCCGCCGUAA